rnacentral:rRNA from 1 species
GUGGAUUAGAUACCCUAGUAGUCCACGCCCUAAACGAUGCGAACUGGAUGUUGGGCACACUUAGGUGCUCAGUGUCGAAGCUAACGCGUUAAGUUCGCCGCCUGGGGAGUACGGUCGCAAGACUGAAACUCAAAGGAAUUGACGGGGGCCCGCACAAGCGGUGGAGUAUGUGGUUUAAUUCGAUGCAACGCGAAGAACCUUACCUGGCCUUGACAUGUCCGGAAUCCUGCAGAGAUGCGGGAGUGCCUUCGGGAAUCGGAACACAGGUGCUGCAUGGUUGUCGCCAGCU